CCCAGCUCUUUGGGAGGCUGAGGUGGGAGGAUCACUGGAGCUCAGUAAUUUUACAGCAACCUGGGCUUUGUUGUGAGCAAGUCCCCAUCUCUACAAAAAGUCGUAUCAUCGGAGUACGGUGGCACAUGCCUGCCAGGAGUAGUCACAGCUACUUGCGAGGCUGAGGCGGGAGGAUUGCUUGAGUCCAGGAGGCGGAGGUUGCAGUGAGCCGAGAUCACGCCGCUGCACUCCAGCCUGGCUGACACAGUGAGACCCUGUUUCAAAAAAAAAAAAAUUUAAAAAUUUAAAAUAAAAUUAUACAUAUGUAUUUUUAAAAGACUAGAGGCAAAUUCAUCAAAUGCUCAUGGUGACGGAGCGAGCGUUUUCCCGUCGGGGAUCCCGGCAGUGGGUCUGGGUGGCAGGGCACCUGCAUUCUCAGCCCAGCUUCCCUGCCUCGCCAAGUGACUACGAAAAGCCUUUUCCUCUCUGGGCCUGUUUCCUUAUCUGUGAAAUUAAAGUGUGGAACCAGAAGAUCUAGGAUUCUUUCCAGAUCUGAGUUACACGAGGAUAUUCAGGACUCAGGAUUUACACAGAGCUGCACGGGCGUGGUGGGGGGGGGGCUGCCCAUCCCGCUGCGGGCCUUGCCAGUCACGCCCUCAAUACAACCCUCUCUUGGCAGUCUCCACGGAGGGGAGGAAGCGGCUGCCUGCCCGCCUGUCAAACUCUGAUCUCAAAUUAGAAUGACGCCUCUCAUCUCUGCCCUGCUUUGAAUCUGAGAGGCCUCCUCCGCCCUUCAGCUGCAGCCUCGUGACCAGGAACAGAGCGGGCCCUGUGUCCUGGAGGCCUUCAUCAGGGAAGGGGGAAGCCGUCCAUGCAGGAGGUGACAUGUAUUGAUUACCUGUGCCCCGCCCCUACGCCCCAAAGCCAGACACUGUGCUUAGAGACAUCUCCAGCCCCCACGUCCUGGAAUCUUUGUAGAGGGUCAGCUCUGAGCUCAUGGAGCCAGGCCCUGCCUGCCCACCCAGCUCUAGAGGCUACAGCUGCAGUAAGAAACGAAUCUGCCCUCACCUCCUUCACCUGGAGCCAGCCUCCCCAGCACUCUGGUCUCAGGCGCUGGCGGGCAGCAGGUGAGUGCUGUGACGGUGGCAUGAAGGUGGGACUCCUGGGUGAGCUGAUGCCACUUUGCCUUGGGCCUUCGGGUUCUUUGUCCCUUGGUGUCCCUCCUUUUGUCUCCCGGACUCUGGGGGUGGAGGGCCCUGAUCCUGGCUUCCCAGGUGGCUGGUGACUCCCCUAGGAUGGACGUUUCCCAUGGCCUGCAGUCACCACGCACCUACCUUGGACAGGAGCAGGUGCAGGGCUGCCCCUCCACUAUGCCGGGUCUCCAGUGCAUAAGAGCCUCUGGCCACGGCCUGGCAGCCCCCCACAGCCCCCGCCCAGGGGACUUUCUGUUUUCACAGUUAAGCAUUUAUUUAAUGAGUGUUAGGAAAAAAUAGAGCUUACUCAAAAGAGGCCUGGACAAGAAUGGAAGGAUUUGGAGACAGUUUAUUUAUUUAUUUAUUUUAUUAUUAUGAUGAUUUUAGAGAUGUAGGGCUUACUCCCAGGAUGGAAUGUGAAGGAGAGAUGGUGGCUCACUGCAGCCUUAACCUCCCAGGCUCAAGCUAUCCUCCUGUCUCAGCCUCCAGAGCAACUAGGACUACAGGUGCACCACCAUGCCCAGGUGAUUUGUUUAAUCUUCAUUUUUUUAUAGAGAGGGGGGUUUCGUCAUGUUGCCCAGACAGGUCUUGAACUCCUGGCCUCAAGCAAUCCUUCCACGUUGGCCUCCCAAAGUGCUGGAAUUACAGGCGUAAGCCAUUGUGCCCAGCCUUGGAGACAGGAGAUUUUUGUUUUGCUUAGUUUUUGGUGGUGUCUCACUCUGUCGCCCACGCUGGAGUGCGGUGGUGCAAUCUCGGCUCACUGCAACCUCCGCCUCCUGGGUUUACGCCAUUCUCCUGCCUCAGCCUCCUGAGUAGCUGGGACUACAGGCGCCCGCCACCACGCCUGGCUAAUUUUGUAUUUUAGUAGAGACGGGGUUUCGCCAUGUUGGCCAGGAUGGUCUCGAACUCCUGACCUUGUGAUCCACCCGCCUCAGCCUCCCAAAGUGCUGGGAUUACAGGCGUGAGCCACCGCGCCCGGCCAGGAGACUGGAGCUUUUCGAAUGGAUCCACUAAAAGGAACAAGAAAGGCUGCGUGUUGGAUCUAUCACGGAUGCUCUGGGCUCUUCAGUGAAGUACUUGUUUAUAAAGUGAGAUGAUUUAAAGCUGGUUUGGUGACAAACACCAAGUGAAAAGCCACACAGGUGGCGUGCAGGCGUGGGAAGAAUUGUGAUGGGAAAUGGAAUGCCUUGAGUUGGGGAAAUGCUGUUUUCCAUCCAAUGCUCACAACAGUCCUCUGAGUGCAGGUCUUACUGUCUCAUCUUACAGAGACAGAAACAGGCCCAGAGAGGUGAGGGGAGUUGCACAAAGUCACUCAGCGAGGGAGUGGAGACGCUGAUCAAUGGUGAUGACUAAUCUUCCGUGGCUGGUAGACCUGGAAAGAGGAGUCUUCCAGGAGCACUGAGCCAGGGUGCCAUGCAGCCCUGGGCUAACGGUUCAGUCCUCUUCUCCGCUGCUGAGCUGUGCCAGGCAGGGGCGUACCCUCGGAUCAGAAACGGUCGCAUCAGACUGGCACAGGCCUGUGGCAGGGCAGAUAGCGAGACUGAUUGGGAAUUGGCAGGUGAGGGAUGGCAAGAAGGAGAACCAGGUCAACUCAUGUCUGCAGAGGCCUGGCAGGCUGGGCUGCCACAGGGACCUCGAGUGUGGAGGAGGAGUAACAUUUGUUCACAGGCUGAGGUUCUUUUAAGCACAGGUUGGCCUGGAACUGGUCUCCUGUUGCAGGCCUCUAACAUGGAAGCUGGUGAUAGGUAAGAAGGAUGUGAGUCAAAGGAAAGCUAUAAGCUCCACAACCACACACACCCGCUCAGACAGACACAGUCCUCACCACAACCACACACACACACUGCAGCGAAUGCACGACCUUCCUAGCAGGUGUUUGUCCUGGGGCCUCUUUUAGAACACACAGGGUGUGGUUUUCACCUUUGGAAUGACUCACUGUUCUGUCCUGUCUCUCUGCCUUUGUUCUAUUGCUAAUCAUAAAGGUUUUUUUUUUUUAAGGCGGAGUCUCGCUCUGUCACCCAGGCUGGAGUGCUGUGGUGUGAUCUCGGCUCACUGCAAGCUCCGCCUCCCGGGUUCACGCCAUUCUCCUGCCUCAGCCUCCCGAAUAGCUGGGACUACAGGCGCCGCCACCUCGCCCGGCUAAUUUUUGUGUUUUUAGUAGAGACAGGGUUUCACCGUGUUGGCCAGGAUGGUCUCCAUCUCUUGACCUCGUGAUCUGCCCACCUCAGCCUCCCAAAGUGCUGGGAUUACAGGCGUGAGCCACCGCGCCCGGCCAUGUCACCCAUAAAAUUUAAUAGCAUGAAGUUUCAUAUGAGCCUGUGGUGGCCAGAGAUGUAAACAUUGGUUCAAAUAAAACUAACAAACAAAGGUGCAUUUCUUUUUUUGUGUGUGUUUGUUUUGAGGCUAAGUCUCGCUCUGUCAUCCAGGCUGGAGGUGCAGUGGUGUGAUCUCGGCUCACUGCAAGCUCCGCCUCCCGGCCUCAAGCAAUUUUCGUGCCUCAGCCUCCCAAGUAGCUGGGAUUACAGGUGUCCACGACCAUGCCCAGCUAAUUUUAUGUUUUAGUAGAGAUGGGGUUUUGCCAUGUUGGCCAGGCUGGUCUCAAACUCUUGGCUUCAAGCUAUUCACCUGCCUUAGCCUCUCAAAGUGCUGGGAUCGUGAGCCACUGGGCCCGGCCUCAUUUUCCCCAUCUGUCUAGUGGGGUUGGUUACUCCUGCCCCACCUGGUUUGAUCCCGCCUAUAAUCUUAGCACGUUGGGAAGUCAAGGUGGUUGGAUCACUUGAGCCCAGGAAUUUGAGACCAGCCUGGACAACACGGAGAAAUCCCAUCUCUACCAAAAAUACAAAAAUUAGCCGGGCAUGAGAGUGCGUGCCUGGAGUCCCAGCUACUCAGGAGGCUGAGGUGGGAGACUCACCUGAGCUUUGGAAGUCGAGGCUACCGUGAGCCGUGAUUGCACCACUGUACUCCAGCCUGGACGAUGGAGUGAAAUCCUGUCAGAAAGAAAGAAAAAGAAAAAGAAAGAAAGAAAGAGAAAAGAAACUGAGGCCCAGGUAAGCUGCUCAGGCCACCAGAUUAAGGCAGUUAAGGAUGGCAUCCAGACCCCUGAAAGGGAGGCCAAGCUAAAGACUGAUUUGGGCAUGGGCAGUUCCUUCUGGCAGACAGCAGAAAAGGAACAAAUGAGAGAAGCAAAGAGUAGGGUCUUGUCUCUGCCCCAGCAAAGCAGCCUCAGAAGAAGUGGACUCAGAAU
ensembl:lincRNA